AACUAAGUCACGUGAGAACCUGGGGACGCUAGGUUCCGGAACCUGACCUGAGCUGGGGCCUGUGCUUCCAGCGGGUGGUGGGGGGCCUGGUGUGCUGGCAUCAAGUAAGCCGACUACCUCGGCAAAGGCUUAGGGACAAGAGACCAGCAGCCUGAACUGGCUGGGGCAUCCGGAAGGCUUAGAUCUUGUGGCCAAGAGUUCAGACCGUGGCGAAGUGGAGAGUGACAUGCAGUUGGAUGGCGGUGACUGCGUGGUCCUGCAACCCUGGUUCCAGUCUGGCAAGCAUUGUAGACCUGGCUGCUGAAGACUGACGGGGCCCAGGGUCCGCUGCCCCCACCGCCAUCACCACCUCGGAACCCAGGGUAACGCUGUCAGUCUUUGAUGAUGUCAGAAGUGGGAUCCAAAGUAGAGCUUAUAAUGACACCUAGGAGUGCUGAGUGACCAAGCAAGGUACCCACCAGGCCGAUUAUGUCCAUUGUUCUCUUGGAGCAGCUGGUCAUCAUG
rnacentral:lncRNA from 1 species